rnacentral:rRNA from 1 species
UACGAAGGGGGCGAGCGUUGUUCGGAAUUACUGGGCGUAAAGGGCGCGUAGGCGGCCGAUCAAGUUAGAUGUGAAAGUCCUGGGCUCAACCUGGGGACUGCAUUUGAUACUGAUUGGCUUGAAUCCGGGAGAGGAUAGCGGAAUUCCCAGUGUAGAGGUGAAAUUCGUAGAUAUUGGGAAGAACACCAGUGGCGAAGGCGGCUAUCUGGACCGGUAUUGACGCUGAGGCGCGAAAGCGUGGGGAGCAAACAGG